UUUGGGGCUGGGCGAGGGUCGCGGACCGUGCUGGAGCGCGCCUGGCCACCGCUGAGGGUCGGAGCUGGGUGCGUGGUGUGUGCGCUCCGCCUGGGAAGGCCCUGCAGACCCGGGCUGGGGAGCAGCUGGUGCCCUAGGUGCUGCGACAGAGGGCCCGCAGGCCGGGGCUGGGGCCGGGGGCGUCCUGAAGCUGCCGAUCUGCUGACCUGGGCCCAACUUAGGCUGCACUUGUUCAUCCAUUGAGCGCAAUUUUAAACACGUGUUGGAAGGAGGAGACCGUGAAAAGGAAGUUCUCCAGGGCAGAGAGCACAAGCCGGCUGAUGCUGGGGAUGGCGACAGCACUGGCUAAUGCCCAUUCCCCAGCUCCUCUGAAUCUGAAGAAGGAGGGGCUUCAGACAGUGAAGGAGGAUCCCUGCUCUACUUGGGAACAGGGAUUCAAGCUGCCAGGAAACAGCACCGGCCUUGGACAAGAACCGCUGUGCAAACAGUUCAGGCAGUUGCGAUAUGAAGAGACCACAGGACCCCGCGAGGCGCUGAGCCGGCUCCGGGAGCUGUGCCGUCAGUGGCUGCGGCCCGAGACGCACAGCAAGGAGCAGAUCCUGGAGCUGCUGGUGCUGGAGCAGUUCCUGACCAUCCUGCCCGAGGAGCUGCAGGCCCGGGUGCGGGAGCAGCACCCCGAGAGUGGGGACGAGGUGGUGGUUGUGCUGGAGGAUUUGCAGCCAGAGCUUGGAGAAGCAGGACAACAUGUGGGCCCAGACCAGGCAAAGAAGCAGAAGAUGCUCGCAGAGGAGGCAGCCCCUGUGGAAGCAGCGCGGGAGCCGCAGGUCCAGCCUGAGCGUGACGUCCCAAAGCCUGAAGAAGAGAAGGGUGAGGAGACAAAGACUGAGAAUAGGAAGACGGUGGUAGAGCCAGAUUCUUGUGGAGGAGUGGAAUCAUCUGGGAAAAUAUCUGAACCCAUAGAACCUCGUCAUGAGGACCCUAACUUGGAAGGGCAGCAGGUCAAGCCCAAGGAGAAGACUGAAUAUAAAUGCUCAGACUGUGGGGAGGGAUUCACCCAGCGCUCAGAGCUGAUUAGACACGAAGGGACACACACACAAGGGAGGCUCUGUGAAUCUGAGGCUUGUCCGAGUCCUCGUCCUACUGCACAUCAGAAAAUCCACUCUAGAGAGAAAGGUCAUCAGUGUCACGAGUGUGGGAAAGCCUUUCAGAGAAGUUCUCACCUCGUCAGGCACCAGAAAAUCCAUCUUGGAGAGAAGCCUUAUCAGUGCAAAGAGUGUGGAAAGGUCUUUAGCCAGAAUGCAGGCCUUCUGGAACACCUUAGAAUCCAUACUGGAGAGAAACCUUACCUGUGCAUCCACUGUGGGAAGAACUUCAGGCGCAGCUCCCACCUCAACCGACACCAGAGAAUUCACAGUCAGGAGGAGCCCUGUGAGUGCAAGGAGUGUGGGAAGACCUUCAGUCAGGCCCUUUUCCUCACCCACCACCAGAGAAUCCACAGCCACUCCAGAAGCCAUCGCUGUAACGAGUGCGGGAAAGCCUUCAGUUUGACCUCGGACCUCAUUCGCCAUCACAGGAUUCACACUGGAGAAAAGCCUUUUAAGUGUGCCAUAUGCCAGAAAGCCUUCCGACUGAACUCCCACCUGGCUCAGCACGUGAGAAUCCACAACGAAGAAAAACCCUAUGAGUGUAAUGAAUGCGGCGAAGCCUUCAGGCAGAGGUCGGGUCUUUUUCAGCAUCAGAGAUACCACCACAAACACAGUCUGGCUUGAUGGGGCAUCCUCUCUGCAAGGAACACGACGGACAGUAUGUUGACAAGCAAACAGCACUUUAGGAAGAGUCACUCCAGCCAAUUCUAGCCUCAGAGAACUCCAGGGGGCCAAGUGGGAGGCUCUGUCCCUUCACUUGUGCUCAGCCUUGGACCACAGUGAUUUGAUCCUCGAUGGGACUGUGGGAAAAAAGCAAAGCCGCAUUCUUCACUGCAGAACUUCUCUGAGCCUUUAACAUGGUAAAUGCAUGAUUGCACGCCUCCAAGUAGUAGAGAGCCUCAUGAUUGAGCGAGGGCUUUGAAGUCACCAGUGAGUCAGUCAAGUAUCCACAGAUUUAUAGUCUUGACCAGAACAAGAGCAGGUGGAAAAAUCUGGAGACAAGCAGUCCAGGACUGAUACAGUGUUUCCUUGACACCACUAGGGAUCCUGCUUCUGCUCCAACAUCCUAGUGCACACCAUCAGUCCUGAGGUUGUCACAUGAUCCUUGGUGGCUGCUUAAGCUCCAGCCAUCACAUGCAAAAUGCAGACAGAGGCAGAAGGACAAAGAUGCCUCCCAGCUCAGCCAGCCCUCUGUGAGCAGCCUCCCAGAAGUCACUUCCACACAUACUCUACAGGCCAAAACUUGGGAAAGGGAGUUGGGAGAGUGUGUCUUAUUCUGGUUUGCGGAGUGCCCAGCCAAAAACUAAGCUGCUGUCACUAGGAAGAAAGGGGAGCAUGAAGGCUGGAACAGGCACUUUGCAGUCUUUGACCCACUUCCCACCUGCUGCGUGUGGUGUGACCAGGUGCCACCGUUAAUACCAUUUCCUGGAGGAGGACCAAAUCUGUGGGAGAAGCAGUGCAACUUUUUGUGGCUCUAAAGAAUUUCAUGGAAACAGUCAUGUUCCAUUCCUUAGGAAGUCGUAAAGCUAUCUGUCUUUCAAUCUGCCGAUGAAUAAAAUUAAGUUGAUAUCAGGAAUUUUCUCCCAAGUGUUUUGACGGCUGUGCUGAGGUCAGUACCUAAGCAUUCAGCUCUGUGUCAUAGUUUAAAUCUGUUCGAUUCUGUUCUAUUUUGGAAGGAAAGAACAGAAUGUCUGUUUGCUUCUCUGUUAAGAAGGAAAAAACAAUUCUCAUGAAAAAGCAAUGACAACAAGAGUUACAGUAUGAAGAGUGAUAUAGCCUUAAAUAUUUGGAAAAUUUAGCUUUCUUUGUGGUGAUUCUGUAGUACACACAUUAUAAAGUUUUCUAAGUUUGUUGAUACCUUAACCAACCUAAUCCCUCACACAGUCCCAAAGGAAAUGGUGUUCUCAUCAGUACCCUGGGGGCAUACCCAUAAUGACUUGGACAUAAAUGUUGGAUACAGGUAUGUUUUAUUUAUUUUUUAAAUUUUUUUGAAAGAGCAUGGGGGCGGGGAGGGGAAGUGGGAGUGGGGGCAAAACAGUCUCAAGCAGGUCCCACGCCCAGGACCCUGAGAUCAUGACCUGAGCUGAAAUCAAGAGCCAGGUGCCCCUGGAAACAGGUAUAUUUUAAUAACAUGCUUUUCUUUUCUAGAAGAAUAUAGAAACAUUGAACAAACGGCAAAAUGUUAUAACAGAUCUUGAUGAAGGUUUUGCUUGCAGUGCAACACAUGAUAGAGGCUCUAGAAGGAAAGCUCAAAGUCUAUUCAGAGGGCAGCAACCCAGAAAGGAUGAGCUCUAUUGCAAAGUAUCUUCUCCUGAUCAGCUUUUCUGUUGGGAUAGUAUCCUAUAAUGUUCAAAAAAGAGUGGUCCUUGUGUGUCUUCAUUUCCUCUUCACUCUCCUGUUUAAAAAACUGAUAAAGCUAUAAAUAAGUGUGCCAUUAUAAAUGUAGUAUGGAAAAACAAGAAAGGGAAAAAUAAAGCACCCUAAUUUUCACCUGUCAAAAAUAAUCACUGUUUAAUGUGCAUAUAUACACACACAUACUCGAAUUGUGAUUUGUUGUUACUAAUAAUUUCUGCUUAAUUUUUAAUACCACCUGUCCAUGUUUAUCUUCAUAAAUUCUUAAUAAAUUAACUUGUUUAUUAUGAUAGAAAU